GUGCUCGCUUCGUCAGCACAUAUACUAAAAUUGGAACAAUACCAGAGAAGGUUAGCAUAGUCCCUGUGCAAGAAUGACAUGAAAAUUUGUGAAGCAAUCCAUAUUUUU
rnacentral:snRNA from 1 species